rnacentral:lncRNA from 1 species
CUUCUAGAUUCUAAUGAGUCCAAAGCAAAGAAAGGUCCAGAAUGUGUUGAUUUCAGUUCAGUUCUUCAAGCAACAUUGAAGCGUAUUCGUACUAUCACUGAAGAUUCGGACUUAGAAUCUGAUAGUGAAUGCACAAAAGAACCUGAAUAAUGUUUGAAACUGAACUUCUGAAUUACUAGCUUUAGGAACUUAAAAUAAUAAUUUUUAGUGGCAUAAUUUACAUAUUUCUCAUGGUCAGUUAUGUACUUUCUUGCUCUACUUUUAUGAUUGUAGUUUUGUUUUAUUAUAUUCACUUUUAUUAAAGAACAUAAAUUUUUCCCUUUAUCCUUUUAAUACUAUUAAAUAAUUAAUACUAUUAUAAUAAUCCUAUUAAAAUGUUAAUAUGUAAGAGAUGUGCAUAUAUAUAUAUAUGUUUGUGUACAUAGUAUUUCUGGUACUUGCAUAUUGUUCCAGCUGUCGUGAAAGUUGGCUAUCAUUGAACCAUAAAAGUUAGUAGAUAUUCCACCAUAUAUUAUUCCAUAAAAGUUGUAAUUAUUUCUACAGAAUUUAGGGCUGCACUUAUAUCUUGAAUUCUUACAAUAAAAAAUUCAUCUUUCUUUCUGCACAGUUUCAAAUAACCAUUGUUGAGGAAGUAUUCGACCUGCUUCAACUUUGUGCUUUGUAAAAAUGCUUUCAUUAAUCUCUGUUAUUUUAUUAGGCCUUCCAAAUUUUCUGAAGCUUAUUUUGGGUUGCAUCAAGUACAAACUUCCCAUGAAUGCUUCUUCUAAUCUGGUACUGUUUUGUUAGCCAUAUCCUGUGGUUCUUUUUACCAUUUAAUAGAUGCUAAUUCUGCAGGCAAGCUAUAAGUGAAUUCGAGUUCAGUCACAAAUAUGAUUUUACAGCCCUCAAACCACAUUCUUUUUAAAUGAAUAUUCUCUUAAUCAUGAUUUUUCAUAGUGCAUUGCCAUUGUUUAUCCAUUUUCAAUUAAAGUACCAUAUGUCCAUUAAUACACACUUUUUUUUUAUGGUAGGAUCCAAUAACUUUUAAAAUAAUCUACUGCUUGCUAUUCUGUGAAAGUUAGGUCCCUAAUUUUUAAUCAUAUUUAUUUUUAACCAUGCUCAUUUUAAUCAUACAGGAAUAACAAUAAAUUAAUAUCUUUGUGCAUGAAAACAAAAGGUGGUUCAGUGAGAAUUAAGUUUACAUAAACAAAAGUGCAAAUGUCAUCAGUGUGUUGUGACAUCAUACUUAUCCAGAAAUGGCAUUAAAUAUGCUGUUUGGCAACUACGGUCAGUGGAGUAAUAUGUAAGUACUGUAUUUCUCAAACCCGGAUUCCAUGAAAAAAAGUACCUAAUUGUUUUAUUUCAUAUAUGGCAUUAUUGCUAGUAUAUCUUGAUAUAAGUGAAAAGGAGAAGACAAUUUUCUCAAGAAAGAUUUUUAUGUAUAGAUUAUUAUUAUUUGUAUGGAAUUCAACUGAGCACUUUUUUGUGCAUUGGAGGGACCAUUCAAGCUUUACAAAUAUAGCUUGCGAUGUGCACUUUUUGCUGAAUACCGUUCAUGAUGUAAAUUGAAUUUUCUACUACUGCUAAUUGCUUCAAAAUCACGUUACUUUAAUUUUUUCCAGCUAUUUUGAUUUGCGUGUAGUUUGAAUAAUAAUAAUAAUUUGAAUAAUAAAUAAUUUGAUUUGCAUGUAAUAAUGAAUUUUUGCAUGUAGGAGAGUAUUGUCAACAAUAAAAGCCAUGGAAAAUUUAAACAGAUUGAAAAAGUGCACAGCAAUUAAACUUCAUGGACGCAGUUCAAUAUGGAAGAAUUUUUUUAAUGCAAAAAGAACUACAAAAUUUGUCUCUGUGAUCCAAAGGUGGGUAACAGGAUAAGAUUAAAACGAUUAUAAAAUACCAUGUAAAAAAAAAUUAGUUCAAAGUACUUUGAAAAUUUUCAUUUGCACAUAAUAUAUAUGAGUUAUGGAAAAAUUUUGUGUGCAAACAACAGUUCCUUUUCAACUAGUUUAUAUUUCAGAUUAUAUUUAUUUUUCCUUUUGUGCUAUUUUUUCAGUGUUAUUUCACUGGUAACAGUAAAAACAUUAUUCUUGUUUUACCAAAACAAAAAAUAUAGCACACUGAAUUUCAUUGUACAAGCUGUACAAGAAUAGCUGAUUGCACAAAAAAGUGCUCAUUCUAGUAUUUAAAAGUUAUAUUUAUGUAUAAGGUGAUAUUUAUAAGCAAAAACAAGGAAAAUAAACCUCAUAAAAAUUA